GCCUGGGUGACUCAGUUGGUUAAGUGUCUGACUUCAGCUCAGAUCAUGAUCUCACAGUUCAUGAGUUCGAGUCCCGUAUCCGGCC
rnacentral:tRNA from 1 species